GUCUACAGCCAUACCACCCUGAAUGUGCCUGAUCUUGUCUGAUCUUGGAAGCUACGCAGGGUCAGGUUUGGUUAGUACUUGGGAGAAAAGCUUUUUGUAAAUU
rnacentral:rRNA from 1 species